ACUGGCCUCUAGACAGCCAAAGCCUUUUGUCACCCAGGCUGGAGUGCCAUGGCACGAUCAUGGUUCACUGCAGCCUCAACCUCCUAGGCUCAAGCCAUCCUCCCAUCUCAACCUCCCGAGUAGCUAGGACCACAGGCACGCGCCACCAAACCAGGGAGUUUAUAGUCCAGUGGAAGAGAAAGACUCAGAAAUCACAUAAUCAUAGUCCAACACAGAAUCCAUGCAUAGGGCACUGUUGGAGCACUGGGAGAGUCUACUUCAAUCUGUGGGUUCAGGACGGGGUUCGCUAAAGUCUUGCAGAAAGAAGUCAGUCUUCUGGGAUAUGGCUUCUUCGGGAAGAUACUGUUAAUGGGGAUUUUGGAUGGCCAUAUAAUGAAAUAGGAAAACGAUUUUGGAAGGAAAAUGGAAGCCCAGGAGGAAAGACUUGGUGUUAUUAUAGCAGCCAUCUUGGAUUGUGAGUGUGUCUCCAACACCAUCUUGAAGGUGCAGUGACUUGCAUGUAGUAGGUGCUUGAUAUUUACCAAGUACCCCCUGUGGGUCAGACCCUACUCUCACCCUAAGGAUACAGCAGGAAGCAAAGCAGAGGUGGAGAAGAUCCCACUAAACACACAGGCCGCUUGGAAUGUUGGGCCAUCUGCCCUUUUGACAUGAAUUUUCCCUCUGAUGGGGGUAGAGCUGGUAACUGUUGGAUCAUCUGAUUAUUGCAGACAGAAGUCCUGUCACUUGCCCCUGCUGUUAGGAGGUGGGCUUCCUGAAUGGCUUUCUGUAUACAUGAAGAAUUUCAAGACCUUCCGUUAAGGUGGUCAGAGCUAAGUUUCAGCGUUUACAAGAGGUCUCUUGGCUGACUUGCUAUAACUUACAGCAACCUGAUGUUUGGACAUCUUUUCCUUUUUUUGUUUUUAGUAAAUAUGAUGAGAAAAAA
rnacentral:sRNA from 1 species